rnacentral:rRNA from 1 species
UAAUACAGAGGGUGCAAGCGUUAAUCGGAAUUACUGGGCGUAAAGGGUGCGUAGGUGGUCAAUUAAGUCAGAUGUGAAAUCCCCGGGCUUAACCUGGGAAUUGCAUUUGAAACUGGUUGACUAGAGUACGGUAGAGGGAAGUGGAAUUUCCGGUGUAGCGGUGAAAUGCGUAGAUAUCGGAAGGAACAUCAGUGGCGAAGGCGACUUCCUGGACCGUUACUGACACUGAGGCACGAAAGCGUGGGGAGCGAACAGGAUUAGAUACCCUGGUAGUCCACGCUGUAAACGAUGAGAACUAGAUGUUAGGGAGCUUAGACUCUUUAGUAUCGCAGCAAACGCGUUAAGUUCUCCGCCUGGGGAGUACGGCCGCAAGGUUA